rnacentral:sRNA from 1 species
AAUGUUUUCUAUAUGUUCCAUACAUUCUAUCUAUAUUCAUUUUGUUGUAGCAGUGCUUUAAAUGUGGGCUCUACUCUUAGGAGAGGAAAACAAGAGAUAUGCUUAGCCAGGGAACGGGGACAAGAUCAUAAAACUAAAAUCAGAUCAAAUGUAUUACUAAAGCAUAGUUUGACUUUGGCAAAAAGGAUCGAAGCUGAGGGACUAAUGAAUGAUUGAAAAGAUGCCGACCACAUGUGACGUUGAUAAAAAUAAAUAAAUAAAUAUUGUUGCAUUGAAAACUUUAAGGAUAGGAUCGCUCUUUCCAUGUUGUCAUUUUUUUAAAGCAUAACCCCAGUUUAACGUUAGUUGUAAACUGUGUUCUGAAACCUAGAGUUGUUGAUCAACUGUUUGGCACCAAGAAUUAAACGUAUUUACAAGGGCGUUAACACAGAAUCACUUUCUUCAUGAAUCACGCGUCUCUGUGACAAUAAAAUGUGUUGUCUCCCUUCCACAAACAAGUCAACAUAGUGACAAAUUACACGCCGGCAACAUUCUGCGCUAAAUAAUGGCUCUCGAGUUUUCGGAACCAAGAGAACCGCUGCUAGAAUUGAAUGUCCCAUUUGUUUGGAACCAAGAGAACCGCCGCAAGCAUUAAAUGUCCCACUUUUUUAAAAGGGGUUCAUAUAAUACAGCACAAAUACUAUUAAGAUCAUGUCUCUAGGGAAGUUCUUCCAGGAUCUAAAAUUACAAUACAUUUUACCAUUGAAAAUUUGAAUAGAAUCACAUCACGUUUCGAUUUAAAAGGGAGGAAGUGAGGAUACUUAGUUAAGUAGGUUGGUAGGUUGGUAGGGAGGGAGUGAGGAUGCAUAGGUAGGUAGGUUGGUAUGUGGUAAGGAGGAAGUGAGGAUACUUAGGUAGGUAUGUUGGUAGGAAGGAUGUGUGGAUACAUAGGUAGGUAGAUAGUUAUGUUGGUAAGGAGGAAGUUUGGAUACAUAGGUAGGUAGGUUGGUAUGAAGGGAGUGAGGAUACAUAGGUAGGUAGGUUGAUAGGAAGGGAGUGAGGAUGCAUAGGUAGGUAGGUUGGUAGGAAGGGAGUAAGGAUACAUAGGUAGGUAGGUUGGUAGGAAGGGAGUGAGGAUACAUAGGUAGGUAGAUAGGUAUGUGGUAAGGAGGUUAUGAGGAUACAUAGGUAGGUAGAUAGUUAUGUUAGUAAAGAGGAAGUGUGGAUACAUAGGUAGGUAGAUAGUUAUGUUGGUAAAGAGGAAGUGUGGAUACAUAGGUAGGUAGAUAGGUAUGUGGUAAGAAGGAUAUGAGGACACAUAGGUAGGUAGGUUGGUAGGGAGGGAGUGAGGAUACAUAGGUAGGUAGAUAGGUAUGUGGUAAGAAGGAUAUGAGGACACAUAGGUAGGUAGGUUGGUAGGACUGGAGUGAGGAUACAUAGGUAGGUAGGUAGGUUGGUAGGACUGGAGUGUGGAUACAUAGGUAGGUAGAUAGGUUGGUAGGACUGGAGUGAGGAUACAUAGGUAGGUAGAUAGGUUGGUAGGACUGGAGUGUGGAUACAUAGGUAGGUAGGUAGGUUGGUAGGACUGGAGUGAGGAUACAUAGGUAGAUAGGUAUGUUGGUAGGACUGGAGUGAGGAUACAUAGGUAGAUAGGUAUGUUGGUAGGAAGGAUGUGUGGAUACAUAGGUAGAUAGGUAGGUUGGUAGGAAGGAUGUGUGGAUACAUAGAUAGAUAGGUAGGUUGGUAGGAAGGAUGUGUGGAUACAUAGGUAGAUAGGUAGGUUGGUAGGAAGGAUGUGUGGAUACAUAGGUAGAUAGGUAUGUUGGUAGGAAGGAUGUGUGGAUACAUAGGUAGAUAGUUAUGUUGGUAGGAAGGAUGUGUGGAUACAUAGAUAGAUAGUUAUGUUGGUAGGAAGGAUGUGUGGAUACAUAGAUAGAUAGUUAUGUUGGUAGGAAGGAUGUGUGGAUACAUAGAUAGAUAGUUAUGUUGGUAGGAAGGAUGUGUGGAUACAUAGGUAGGUAGAUAGUUAUGUUGGUAGGAAGGAUGUGUG